rnacentral:tmRNA from 1 species
GGGGAUGCCUAUAUUCGAUACUGUGCACCAAUGCUUUGUUAGCUAGUAACGCCGGAUGUCGUUUGACACAUCCACUCGUACUAAGUGCAAACUUCGUACAAAAGGUAAAGGCUAAGAUCGCUGCGUUUUCGAACGCUUUGACUCCAGCUUUUGCUCCUGUUGUUGCUUAAAUUCAACGACCAUCCGUCAACCUAAUACCUGAUAGGGUUGAGCCGGGUGCUAUUCAUCAGGCUAUAGUCGCCGGUGCUGACCCCGGCAGACCGUACCAAUUGAUCAGCUCGAGGUACAGUCAGUGGAUAGUGCUUCACUGUACUUCUAAAUUCCUCACUAUUCUAUACUAGUAGAAGACAAGCUGCGGGUACGGUAGACGCGGGUGUAACCCCCGCCAUCUCCACCA